rnacentral:rRNA from 1 species
GAGUUUGAUCAUGGCUCAGGACGAACGCUGGCGGCGUGCCUAAUACAUGCAAGUCGAACGCUUUUUCCAAUCAUCGUAGCUUGCUACACCGAUUGGAAAUUGAGUGGCGAACGGGUGAGUAACACGUGGGUAACCUGCCCAAAAGAGGGGGAUAACACUUGGAAACAGGUGCUAAUACCGCAUAACCAUGAUGACCGCAUGGUCAUUAUGUAAAAGAUGGUUUCGGCUAUCACUUUUGGAUGGACCCGCGGCGUAUUAACUUGUUGGUGGGGUAACGGCCUACCAAGGUGAUGAUACGUAGCCGAACUGAGAGGUUGAUCGGCCACAUUGGGACUGAGACACGGCCCAAACUCCUACGGGAGGCAGCAGUGGGGAAUAUUGCACAAUGGGCGAAAGCCUGAUGCAGCGACGCCGCGUGAGCGAUGAAGUAUUUCGGUAUGUAAAGCUCUAUCAGCA